AUGCUUACUGGAAGAUUUCAGUUGGUUAUGCUAUUAUGGAAUUAUUUUUCUGUUGUUUUUAUCGAUCCGAGAAGUUUACUUUCAAAUUGGAAGCCUACAAUUGAUAAGGAGAUAGGAGAGGAAGAUCCAUUAGUUGGUGCAGAACUCAUGAACACGAUUUCUGAUCUGUCCAAUCAAAGGAUUUGGUACUGCAGAAGUUUAAUCAUCUCAAGUCACCUUGAUGCCAUCAUUGAUCAGUUUGAUUGA